GAUGAAGAACGUAGCGAAAUGCGAUAAGUAAUGUGAAUUGCAGAAUUCAGUGAAUCAUCGAAUCUUUGAACGCACAUUGCGCCCGCCAGUAUUCUGGCGGGCAUGCCUGUCCGAGCGUCAUUUCAACCCUCGAACCCCUCCGGGGGGUCGGCGUUGGGGAUCGGCCCUGCCUCUUGGCGGUGGCCGUCUCCGAAAUGCAGUGGCGGUCUCGCCGCAGCCUCUCCUGCGCAGUAGUUUGCACACUCGCAUCGGGAGCGCGGCGCGUCCACAGCCGUUAAACACCCAACUUCUGAAAUGUUGACCUCGGAUCAGGUAGGAAUACCCGCUGAACUUAAGCAUAUCAAUAAGCGGAGGA
rnacentral:misc_RNA from 1 species